CACGUAGGGGGCAAGCGUUGUCCGGAUUUAUUGGGCGUAAAGAGCUCGUAGGCGGUUCGGUAAGUCGGGUGUGAAACCUCCAGGCUCAACCUGGAGAGGCCACCUGAUACUGCUGUGACUCGAGUCCGGUAGGGGAGCGUGGAAUUCCUGGUGUAGCGGUGAAAUGCGCAGAUAUCAGGAGGAACACCAGCGGCGAAGGCGGAUCUCUGGGCCUGUUCUGACGCUGAGGCGCGAAAGCUAGGGGAGCGAACAGG
rnacentral:rRNA from 1 species